rnacentral:rRNA from 1 species
UACAGAGGUCCCGAGCGUUGUUCGGAUUCACUGGGCGUAAAGGGUGCGUAGGUGGCCUGACAAGUUUGAUGUGAAAGCUCAGGGCUUAACCCUGAAAUGGCAUUGAAUACUGUCGGGCUGGAGGGUUGGAGGGGGGACUGGAAUUCUUGGUGUAGCAGUGAAAUGCGUAGAUAUCAAGAGGAACACCAGUGGCGAAGGCGAGUCCCUGGACAACACCUGACACUGAGGCACGAAAGCUAGGGGAGCAAACAGG